UACAGGGGGUGCAAACGUUGCUCGGAAUCAUUGGGCGUAAAGCGCACGUAGGCGGUUUGUUAUGUCGGAUGUGAAAGCCCUUGGUUCAACUGAGGAAGUGCAUCCGAAACUGGCAGCUAGAGUACUAAAGAGGGUCGCGGAAUUCCCGGUGUAGAGGUGAAAUUCGUAGAUAUCGGGAGGAACACCGGUGGCGAAGGCGGCGACCUGGGUAGAUACUGACGCUGAGGUACGAAAGCGAUGGGGAGCAACAGG
rnacentral:rRNA from 1 species